AAGACUGCUCAAAAUCUCCUCAGAGCUCAGAACUUCAGUUGGAAACCCUGGCCUGAGAAUUCCAACAGAUUUUUAUCUCUCAUUCUAAACUGGUUUAAGAUCAUUUGACAGAAUUUUUCUCUCCUGCCACUUAACUUAUCAGAAAACUAUUCCAAAUCCUAUUCAAUAAUAUUCCCAAUAAUCUACAUGUAAAAAUAAAAUUUAAAUCACAUUUUAAAAAAGAAUUAUUGAGAAGGGAAGAAUGUCUUUGCCAGGAACACCCCAUGGUCAGCAUGGUCCAUAGCAUCAUGAAGAGCUGGAUAUGACUUAAUGACUGAACAAAGGCUGAAUAGUUGCAUUGAUCCUAUGGAUCCUGGUAUCACAUUGAGCUGUGUUAGGAAACCUAUGGAAUUCAUGCAGGAGGGAGCUGUUUCCUUUCACCUCUCCACAAGAGACUGAGAACAUUUCUCACAUCCACCCCUCUGUACAGCAGCCCAAUGGAAGAGCUUCCCUCAUCCACUGUCUGGGGGUGUGAAGGUAUAAAAUGUGAAGUAGAUAUAUACUACUGCUUAUUAUACAUGGCAAGUUGUAUGGCAAGAUUUUUGUGUGUAGAGAAACCACAUGAAACCACUAACAAAUGUUGGCUCUCUUGUCCGGAGAGUAUUGAGUGUGCAAAGGUAGAGUGUUACUAUGCUGAGGAGCACAACAAUAGCUACCACAGUUUAUGUGCUGCUGGAUGGACUUGCAAAACCUUCCUAUUGAAUAUUAAUGGUUGCGAAGAAAAUGGAUACCAGCAUGGAGCUAUCUGUGAAGAUGGAAUUAAUGAAUACAGGUGUGGGUGUCUUCAAGGAGGUGAUGGAUUCUUCUGCGGAAUAAAGACAAAUAUGUGUGUGUCUGAGACCUGUAAAAAUGGAUCUACCUACAUGUGUUUAAAUGACCAUGUCUUCUGGCAGUGUGACACUGGAUUUAUAGGACAAAUGUGGAAGAAUAAGGGAUUUGUCACAACAUCUGGAAAAAAGGAUAGCAUAUGAGAACCAACUCUUAGAAGAAGUGAACUUGCCAAAGGAAGUGGUGGUGAUUCAUUACAAGGCUCACUUCUCUGGCAAGGAUGAGGUAUUCCUAGGAAAUCACAGGGUUGAUGUAACAGCAAGAUUCGCUGCAAGAUUUGGUCCUAUCUAUGUUCUGAAUUUCUCUCUGGUGGAUAAGCAUGAUCUCAAGCAAACAUACUUCCAAGAGGAGAUUCGGGCAUGGCAAGAACAUCUAGGGGCCAGAUUAGUCAAAGGAAUCUGUUUAUCACAAAGAGGGAAAGUCCAUCUUGCCCAAAAGGCUGUACUAACAUCUAUGCAAUGUAAUUCAUUCCAGAGGUCAUUACAGAGUGCAAUCCAUGCUAGAUGAGGUCUGCCUGUUUUGGGAAGGUCCAGGGAUAUCAAAUAUAUAACUAUAUAUACAUAUAUAUAUAUAUACAUAUAUAUAUAUAUAUAUAUAUAUAAGAUAUAUAACAAAUGUUAUAAGAGUGUGUCAGGCAUGUGACAUCUGUAGAAAGUUUAAUAAAGGUCAUUUCAAAAGCA
rnacentral:lncRNA from 1 species